rnacentral:piRNA from 1 species
UGACUAAAACAGUGUCUUAAAGUCAUAUC